CGGGGUGCAGCAGGCGCGAAAACUUUACAAUGCUGGAAACAGCGAUAAGGGGACCUCGAGUGCCAGGUUACAAAUCUGGCUGUCGUGAUGCCUAAAAAGCAUUGCAUAGCAAGGGCCGGGCAAGACCGGUGCCAGCCGCCGCGGUAACACCGGCGGCUCGAGUGGUAACCGUUAUUAUUGGGUCUAAAGGGUCUGUAGCCGGCCGGAUAAGUCUCUUGGGAAAUCCAGCAGCUCAACUGUUGGGCUUUCAGGAGAUACUGUCUGGCUCGAGGCCGGGAGAGGUGAGAGGUACUUCAGGGGUAGGGGUGAAAUCUUGUAAUCCUUGAAGGACCACCAGUGGCGAAGGCGUCUCACCAGAACGGACCUGACGGCAAGGGACGAAAGCUAGGGGCACGAACCGGAUUAGAUACCCGGGUAGUCCUAGCCGUAAACGAUACUCGCUAGGUGUCGGCCACGGUGCGACCGUUGUCGGUGCCGUAGGGAAGCCGUGAAGCGAGCCACCUGGGAAGUACGGCCGCAAGGCUGAAACUUAAAGGAAUUGGCGGGGGAGCACAAGGGCGAAUCGC
rnacentral:rRNA from 1 species